rnacentral:rRNA from 1 species
GUGUCAGCAGCCGCGGUAAUACGUAGGGUGCGAGCGUUGUCCGGAAUUAUUGGGCGUAAAGGGCUCGUAGGCGGUUUGUCGCGUCGGGAGUGAAAACGCCGUGCUUAACACGGCGCUUGCUUCCGAUACGGGCAGACUAGAGGUAUUCAGGGGAGAACGGAAUUCCUGGUGUAGCGGUGAAAUGCGCAGAUAUCAGGAGGAACACCGGUGGCGAAGGCGGUUCUCUGGGAAUGACCUGACGCUGAGGAGCGAAAGUGUGGGGAGCGAACAGGAUUAGAUACCCGAGUAGUCC